UUUCUGUGUCGUUGCUUUCCUAUUUUUAGAUUUUCUCUCUCUCCUUCUUUCUAUCACCUUUUUACACUCUCAUCGCUGUAUGCCACCCCCUUUCAUUGCCUACACGCCUAACUCUCAAGGUAAUCGUAAAACUGUCGUCGCACACCUGACACCCAACUCGAGGAGAAUCGUCGUCGUCGAAGGCAGAGUCGUCCGCCACCUUUCUCUCCUUUCUAGCUCUCUGAUUUUGCAACUACAACUUUCUUUACUUUUCUAACUAUCUGCGACAAUGUGACUGCAUCUCUUCCUCUCUAGUCUCUAGCCACUACAAAAAAGAGGCAUAAAAUGGCAGCAACAUAAUGGAAGUUCUACAAAACCGCCGAUAUAUUCAUAAAUUGAGGCAGUUUAUGCAGCUGCCGUAAUUUCACUGGUAGGAAGCAGCGGUUUUUUGGUGCUUUUGGCGGUUUUAAACGCCAUUACCUGCUCCUGCUCUUGCUUCACUGAUAUAAAAAGUAAAAACUCUUCUAUUUCAUUAAUAAACGUUGUCUAUUUGAUCGAGCCUCCAUCCCAAUGUGAGAAACCAAGAAGUUCCUCCAUCGCAACAUGAGAUCUGCAAUCUCAUCCACGAGGCUCUCCUCUGGCGGCAAGCUCCUCCAUCAACGCUUUUCUUCCAGCUGCGAUCUCCUCCAUCAACGUUUUACUUCAAUUGAUGGAUCUGCUGUGUGAUUUUUUCUGCUCCAUCGUGUUGUCCUAUGUGAAGCUUCUCCGUCUCCAUCUUUGUUGAAUUAGAUGAUGAAGAUAAAUUGAUUUGGAACUAUUUAAAAGAUGGAAGCUACCUAAAUAAGAACCACUUGAAGAUAGACAUCAUCUUUUCGUUCAUCUAUUUACUGGAUUGGAUUGGAAAGAAACAAAUGCUUCUCUUUUGUGUUGCCCCUUGUGCUCUUGUCUGCUCAUUGAAAGGGACCCAUUUAAAAAGAAGUCACUUUUAGAUAAUUGAGUUAUUCACCAUGUUUCCACAAUUAAGAGUUUAAAACUAUAUAUGGUACUUUCCUAGCUCACUGAUGGUGGUUUCAAUUUGCAUUGUUGGUCCAUGUUUAGACAAUUUUAUAGGAUCGGAGGAAGCUGAAAACUGCAAGUAAAAAUAAUUGUUAAAAUAAAAUUGUUAAAUAAAGUACAAGAAAGAUGAGUUUGAUUUUGAUUGUACAAGAAAUUGUUAAAAUUUCAAGGUUAGGUGGAAGUAAUGAAGAAGGGGUUAUUCAGUUUCAACAAGUAAUAUAAGUUGCACAAGAUAAAUGGUGCAUAUAUAAAUAUUUUACAAUUUUCAAAUCAUGUAGGAAUUUGAUCACUAUGGACAUUUAAUUAUGUGCUGGCUGGUAAUGAACUUUGUAAGGGUUGUUUAUCACUAUUGCACACUUUGUUAGUAGCGGUGACAAUGAACCAUCCAAGAGCAGAACCAUGUGCAGGAUUCACGGCCGGUAAAUUAAAAAAAAAUAUUGAGAGUUUUAAUUUAUUUUCUAAUUGUUUUUUAAAUUUUACAAUUAAAAAAAUUUUGAACUUUUGUUUAUCUUUUUAAUAUUUUGAGAGUGCUGUUAGGAAUCAUUUUGAGGAGGCAUGGUGUUGGUGUUUGAAUAUGGAAGAGAAGAGAAGAUGAAAAAAUGAAUAAUUGAAUGAAGGAGAAAACAGAGUCAAAUAUAAGAGGGAGAAAGAAAAAAGAAAGUGUAUUUUAAAAUUCUAAAUCAAGUUGUGGUAGCUAGUUUUAGUUUACCAAAAACAUGACUAUCACGUUACUUCCAUGGUUCCAUGGCUUUCUUGCUAGUGCUCACUUAGUGUGGUUUUUUCAUCCCUUGUGUUACAGGUAUAUAAAAAAAUACUUUCAUGUAUAUUUCACUUGAUUGAUUUCAUGUUAAAGCUAGCAUUAGAUGUAUUUCUUUUUUAACUUUCUUGAAGUUGUAUCUUUUAAUUUUGGAUCAGCUAAUAGAUGUUAUUUUUCUCUUUAUUUUUGCUGUAAUUAUUGAAUGCCACUACAAAAAAAAGGGCACAAAAUGGCAGCAACAUAAUGACGGUUCUAUAUUAUUGAACUGUAUGGACUUGUCAUUCAACAAAGGUUUAAAAGGUCCUCUAUCUCCAGAGAUAGGAGACUUAAGCAAUCUGAAUAUACUCAUCUUGGCUGGUUGUAGCUUCAGUGGCAGCAUUCCAGAUGCAUUGAGGAAUCUUGCACAGCUAUCCUUCUUGUUUGUUCACUGGUAUUGACGAUCCAUAUGAACCAGCAAGUAGUUAUGAAGUAUGUAUUUCAGUAUUUAUAUGUAGUUGUUAUGUUGUGUGUAUACUUGGUAUCUUUGAAGGAGGAAAAUACUAAUUAGCUGAGAAAGCACUUCAAAUGCACUUAGUCCUUUUUCAUUCUCUGCACCAGCAAAUUCUAGAUUUGCCUUUAAGAAUAUUGAUGUCACAGCUGUGGUGUCCAUGAUAAAACAAUUAAGGAGAAUCCAUAAGGCACUGGAAUUACUUGGGUGAUCUUGCUUGUUUACAAAGGACUGUAUGGCGAAGGUGACUCAGUGAAGCAAGAGUUUGCAGCAGCUUCUAGUUACUAUUUACAAGCUAAUUCUCUAUGGCCUUCUAGUGGAAAUCCCCAUCAUCAGCUUGCCUUAUUGGCUUCAUAUUCUGAGGAUGAGCUGGCAGCUGCUUAUCAUUAUUUUAGGAGUUUGGUUGUGGAGAGUCGAUUUUCAACUGCCAGAGAUAAUUUGAUUGCUGCAUUUGAGAAGCUCUACUUGCAACUUCUUUACCAAUUCGAGCAAUUGUACUUCUACAGAGCUCCUACAAAGAGCAGCAAGACCACAGGUUUGCACAAGAGGAAGCAAAUCUCAUCCGAAACGACACGUAUGUUACUUUAUGCAAUUUAAUCAGCACUAAAAUGUGUUUGUUGAGUUGAAGCUUUGAAGGGAAGGAUUCUUAGUACCAUAGUAAAAACAGCACUUAUUAGAUGGUUUAAAUACAUUAUUAGAUAUUAACAUAGUUUAGAGAAUUGGAUGGUAGAUUUGACUGAUUAGUGUUUAUUGCAAUACUUGUAUUUUGCUAAGUUUAGUAAGAUAAUGUUUUGUA